rnacentral:lncRNA from 1 species
GAUAACUAACAACAGAAAUUCUAUUAAUUACGAUAAAAAAUAAGAUUUAAAAAAAAAUCCUGAAAGCUUGCGUUCGUCGUCUUCGUCCACUAUGAUUCACAUUAUUCAAUGAAAAUUAUUUAUUUGAAAUUAGAAAAAACAAAAAUUUCAAAGGGAAGCAAACCGUCAAACAUCGGUGCCAAUGCCGGUUCUCCACAUCUCACCUCUCUACUUUCUGCCAUCUUCGUGCGGUUAACGAUAGCCAUUCUUUAACUCCUUGUGGAUCGCCUGCCUUGAAUUGUUAGUAACCGCAGGUGGAUUGCCCAACUGAAUCGUCGGUUUGAGUUCCAUUGCAGUCUUCGCAGCCUUGUUUUUCUCCAACGUAAUCGGGAGGUAUCGCAUUGCUUAAUGAUCCGAAAAUUGAUAUUGUAUUCAGUAUGGAGAGAGAUGCAAAAAAAAAAAGUUUGGUGGAAUUGAAGGAGUAUUAUAAGGAAAUUGAAUUGAUUUAUGCUUUAG